rnacentral:tRNA from 1 species
GCCGAAAUGGUGGAAUGGUAGACACGAGGGACUUAAAAUCCCUUGGGCAAUUACGCCUGUGUGGGUUCGAGUCCCACUUUCGGUACCA